UAGCUGCUCGUACAGAGUUAAAUCUGGUCUCCGAAGCGGAUUGUAGUGGAUUGCAUAAACAAACAACCAACCUUUUUUCUUUGGCUCUAUUGAACGCCACAUUUUGAUGCAAUGAGAUUGUCACAUCAAAAAAUCUUACUGGAGGAAAAAGGUUUUCUUGGCCAACUGAUGAGCAACUUUUAAAAUGUUGCAUCUCACUGGUGAGGUAUGUGGAGGGCAGUGAGACGCCAACAUUCCUCCAACAAUUGAAUGAUGCUGAAAGUAUCACUGGUCAACAACAACCACAACAACAACAAUUACAGUUUACACCAAUUAUUAACGAGAUCACAACACGUGGCGAUGAGGGAAUACCAGCUGGCAUCUUUUCAGGGAGCGUUAGUGAAGGAGCGGCAACCAGUGGUAAGAAAGAUAUUAAAAAGCCAUCAAGAAGAAACCGCGAAGUUAGUUUAUGGAAGUUUCUUUACCGUUUGCUGGAAGCACCAAAUUACCAACUUAUUCGUUGGGUAAACAAAAGAGAGUUUGUGUUUCGUGUGUAUGACACAGCUGGUCUGGCGAUGCGCUGGGGGAUGGAAAAGAAUAACAUACACAUGAAUUACGACAAAAUGAGUCGCGCAAUGCGUCAAUAUAAGCAUGGUGAAGUACAGAAGGUUCCUGAAACGAAGCUUACAUUCAAGUUUGGCGAUGUUGUGGUGAACGAAAUUAAGAAAGGAAUAAUUUAAAGACAGAACAGAUAAAAAUAAAUCAGACAGUAAUUUUUAAAUAAAGAGCAUAAAAUUAAAUAUUAUUACGUGAUUAUAUAAUU
rnacentral:lncRNA from 1 species